rnacentral:rRNA from 1 species
GGUUAAGCGACUAAGCGUACACGGUGGAUGCCCUGGCAGUCAGAGGCGAUGAAGGACGUGCUAAUCUGCGAAAAGCGCCGGCGAGGUGAUAUGAACCCUUGACCCGGCGAUGUCCGAAUGGGGAAACCCAGUGCAAUCCGUUGCACUAUCGUUAACUGAAUACAUAGGUUAACGAGGCGAACCGGGGGAACUGAAACAUCUAAGUACCCCGAGGAAAAGAAAUCAACCGAGAUUCCCCCAGUAGCGGCGAGCGAACGGGGAGCAGCCCGGAGUCUGAAUCAGCUUGUGUGUUAGUGGAACGGUCUGGAAAGUCCGACGGUACAGGGUGAUAGUCCCGUACACGAAAGCACACUUGCUGUGAACUCGAAGAGUAGGGCGGGACACGUGGUAUCCUGUCUGAAUAUGGGGGGACCAUCCUCCAAGGCUAAAUACUCCUGACUGACCGAUAGUGAACCAGUACCGUGAGGGAAAGGCGAAAAGAACCCCGGCGAGGGGAGUGAAAAAGAACCUGAAACCGUGUACGUACAAGCAGUGGGAGCCUACUUGUUAGGUGACUGCGUACCUUUUGUAUAAUGGGUCAGCGACUUAUAUUCUGUAGCAAGGUUAACCGUAUAGGGGAGCCGAAGGGAAACCGAGUCUUAACUGGGCGUUAAGUUGCAGGGUAUAGACCCGAAACCCGGUGAUCUAGCCAUGGGCAGGUUGAAGGUUGGGUAACACUAACUGGAGGACCGAACCGACUAAUGUUGAAAAAUUAGCGGAUGACCUGUGGCUGGGGGUGAAAGGCCAAUCAAACCGGGAGAUAGCUGGUUCUCCCCGAAAGCUAUUUAGGUAGCGCCUCGUGAACUCAUCUUCGGGGGUAGAGCACUGUUUCGGCUAGGGGGCCAUCCCGGCUUACCAACCCGAUGCAAACUACGAAUACCGAAGAAUGUUAUCACGGGAGACACACGGCGGGUGCUAACGUCCGUCGUGAAGAGGGAAACAACCCAGACCGCCAGCUAAGGUCCCAAAGUCAUGGUUAAGUGGGAAACGAUGUGGGAAGGCACAGACAGCCAGGAUGUUGGCUUAGAAGCAGCCAUCAUUUAAAGAAAGCGUAAUAGCUCACUGGUCGAGUCGGCCUGCGCGGAAGAUGUAACGGGGCUAAACCAUGCACCGAAGCUGCGGCAGCGACACUAUGUGUUGUUGGGUAGGGGAGCGUUCUGUAAGCCGUUGAAGGUGUGCUGUGAGGCAUGCUGGAGGUAUCAGAAGUGCGAAUGCUGACAUAAGUAACGAUAAAGCGGGUGAAAAGCCCGCUCGCCGGAAGACCAAGGGUUCCUGUCCAACGUUAAUCGGGGCAGGGUGAGUCGACCCCUAAGGCGAGGCCGAAAGGCGUAGUCGAUGGGAAACAGGUUAAUAUUCCUGUACUUGGUGUUACUGCGAAGGGGGGACGGAGAAGGCUAUGUCAGCCGGGCGACGGUUGUCCCGGUUUAAGCAUGUAGGCGGAGGUUCCAGGUAAAUCCGGUACCUUUUAACGCUGAGGUGUGAUGACGAGGCACUACGGUGCUGAAGUGAUAAAUGCCCUGCUUCCAGGAAAAGCCUCUAAGCAUCAGGUAACACGAAAUCGUACCCCAAACCGACACAGGUGGUCAGGUAGAGAAUACCAAGGCGCUUGAGAGAACUCGGGUGAAGGAACUAGGCAAAAUGGUGCCGUAACUUCGGGAGAAGGCACGCUGAUGUGUAGGUGAAGCCCCUGCGGGCGGAGCUGAAAUCAGUCGAAGAUACCAGCUGGCUGCAACUGUUUAUUAAAAACACAGCACUGUGCAAACACGAAAGUGGACGUAUACGGUGUGACGCCUGCCCGGUGCCGGAAGGUUAAUUGAUGGGGUUAGCUGUAAGGCGAAGCUCUUGAUCGAAGCCCCGGUAAACGGCGGCCGUAACUAUAACGGUCCUAAGGUAGCGAAAUUCCUUGUCGGGUAAGUUCCGACCUGCACGAAUGGCGUAAUGAUGGCCAGGCUGUCUCCACCCGAGACUCAGUGAAAUUGAACUCGCUGUGAAGAUGCAGUGUACCCGCGGCAAGACGGAAAGACCCCGUGAACCUUUACUAUAGCUUGACACUGAACACUGGUCCUUGAUGUGUAGGAUAGGUGGGAGGCUUUGAAGCGUGGACGCCAGUCUGCGUGGAGCCAACCUUGAAAUACCACCCUUUAAUGGCUGGUGUUCUAACGUAGACCCGUAAUCCGGGUUGCGGACAGUGUCUGGUGGGUAGUUUGACUGGGGCGGUCUCCUCCCAAAGAGUAACGGAGGAGCACGAAGGUUGGCUAAUCCUGGUCGGACAUCAGGAGGUUAGUGCAAUGGCAUAAGCCAGCUUGACUGCGAGCGUGACGGCGCGAGCAGGUGCGAAAGCAGGUCAUAGUGAUCCGGUGGUUCUGAAUGGAAGGGCCAUCGCUCAACGGAUAAAAGGUACUCCGGGGAUAACAGGCUGAUACCGCCCAAGAGUUCAUAUCGACGGCGGUGUUUGGCACCUCGAUGUCGGCUCAUCACAUCCUGGGGCUGAAGUAGGUCCCAAGGGUAUGGCUGUUCGCCAUUUAAAGUGGUACGCGAGCUGGGUUUAGAACGUCGUGAGACAGUUCGGUCCCUAUCUGCCGUGGGCGCUGGAGAAUUGAGGGGGGCUGCUCCUAGUACGAGAGGACCGGAGUGGACGCAUCACUGGUGUUCGGGUUGUCAUGCCAAUGGCACUGCCCGGUAGCUAAAUGCGGAAGAGAUAAGUGCUGAAAGCAUCUAAGCACGAAACUUGCCCCGAGAUGAGUUCUCCCUGAGACUUUAAGUCUCCUGAAGGAACGUUAAAGACGAUGACGUUGAUAGGUCGGGUGUGUAAGCGCAGCGAUGCGUUGAGCUAACCGAUACUAAUGAACCGUGAGGCUUAACCUU